AGAGUGAACGCUGGCGGCAGGCCUAAUACAUGCAAGUCGAACGGCAGCACAGCAGAGCUUGCUCUGUGGGUGGCGAGUGGCGGACGGGUGAGGAAUACAUGGGAAUCUGCCCAGUCGUGGGGGAUAACGUAGGGAAACUUACGCUAAUACCGCAUGCGCCCUUCGGGGGAAAGCCGGGGACCUUCGGGCCUGGCGCGAUUGGAUGAGCCCAUGUCGGAUUAGCUAGUUGGCGGGGUAAAGGCCCACCAAGGCGACGAUCCGUAGCUGGUCUGAGAGGAUGAUCAGCCACACUGGAACUGAGACACGGUCCAGACUCCUACGGGAGGCAGCAGUAGGGAAUAUUGGACAAUGGGCGCAAGCCUGAUCCAGCCAUGCCGCGUGUGUGAAGAAGGCCUUCGGUUGUAAAGCACUUUGUACCGGAAAGAAAAGCACGUGGUGAAUACCCUGGUGUCCUGACGGUACGGAAGAAUAAGCACCGCUAACGUCGCG
rnacentral:rRNA from 1 species